UUACACAAGGAACUGUGUAAUUUAAGUUUGGGGGAGAGCUUAGGAUAGCAUUUGACAUGUUUUCUAUUUUCUUAUUUCGAAUUUUUAGCAUCUAGUCUUGCAUUCAUCUAUGUGCAUCAAAAAACCCUAAAAAUUUGAAAAAUUUCAGAAAAUCCUUUAAAAAAAAAAUAAAAAAAUAGAGUGUUCAUAUAGUUGAAUUUGCAUAUUAGUUUUGCUUUAAGGAUGUUGCAUUUAGGAUCUUGCAUUAGCAUAGGGGAUUAUGAUGAUUAUAACCAAAGAACUUGCUGUUCCAUUAGAUUUAACACCAAUUUCCUCGUUCAUAGUUGUUUAAUGCUUUCAUUUGAGCUUGAAACGAGACCGCACCAUUCUUUGAUUGCAUGAUUU
rnacentral:lncRNA from 1 species